rnacentral:rRNA from 1 species
GACGAACGCUGGCGGCGUGCUUAACACAUGCAAGUCGAACGGUAAGGCCUUCGGGUACACGAGUGGCGAACGGGUGAGUAACACGUGGGUGAUCUGCCCCCUACUCUGGGAUAAGCCUGGGAAACUGGGUCUAAUACCGGAUAUGACCUCCUUCUGCAUGGUUGGUGGUGGAAAGUUUUUUCGGUAGGGGAUGAGCCCGCGGCCUAUCAGCUUGUUGGUGGGGUAAUGGCCUACCAAGGCGACGACGGGUAGCCGGCCUGAGAGGGCGACCGGCCACACUGGGACUGGGACACGGCCCAGACUCCUACGGGAGGCAGCAGUGGGGAAUAUUGCACAAUGGGCGAAAGCCUGAUGCAGCGACGCCGCGUGGGGGAUGACGGCCUUCGGGUUGUAAACCCCUUUCAGUCGGGACGAAGCGAGAGUGACGGUACCGAUAGAAGAAGCACCGGCCAACUACGUGCCAGCAGCAGCCGCAGUAA